rnacentral:lncRNA from 1 species
UAAAAUUUUGUGAGGGGGUAAGGGAGAAAGAGCAAGUACAAAAGACAGAGAGAAAAUAGGCUAAUAGUAGUGGAAAAAGUCAAAAUUUAAAAAGCCCAAAGGUGAGUGAAUCCUCUAGUGGUAAAAUGAGCGGAAAAAAUCUUUUGGCAACAAAAAAAGAUGUGAAGAGAGCCCUACUUAAUAAACAGCCUUGUAUCCUUGUGAGGUUUAGGC